rnacentral:rRNA from 1 species
UACGAGGGGGGCAAGCGUUGUUCGGAAUUAUUGGGCGUAAAGGGUGCGUAGGCGGGUCUUUAAGUCAGGGGUGAAAUCCUGGAGCUCAACUCCAGAACUGCCUUUGAUACUGAAGAUCUUGAGUUCGGGAGAGGUGAGUGGAACUGCGAGUGUAGAGGUGAAAUUCGUAGAUAUUCGCAAGAACACCAGUGGCGAAGGCGGCUCACUGGCCCGAUACUGACGCUGAGGCACGAAAGCGUGGGGAGCAAACAGG